UGGCUUAGCUGGCUAAAGCACCUGCCUAAUAAACAGGAGAUCCUGGGCUCAACUCCCAG
rnacentral:tRNA from 1 species